GACGAACGCUGGCGGCGUGCUUAACACAUGCAAGUCGAACGGAAAGGCCCUGCUUUUGCGGGGUGCUCGAGUGGCGAACGGGUGAGUAACACGGGAGUGACCUGCCCUUGACUUUGGGAUAACUUCAGGAAACUGGGGCUAAUACCGGAUAGGAGCUCCUGCUGCAUGGUGGGGGUUGGAAAGGUUCGGCGGUUGGGGAUGGACUCGCGGCUUAUCAGCUUGUUGGUGGGGUAGUGGCUUACCAAGGCUUUGACGGGUAGCCGGCCUGAGAGGGUGACGGGCCAGAUUGGGACGGGAGGCAGCAGCAGGGACUUCUGGGGGACAGCCGUGGGCCAGAUCGAACAAUGCCGCGAGGACGAAGGCGGCCACCGCGUGGGAGACUGCUCGGCUUUGGGAUGAAAAACCGCUUUCGCAUGUGAGGAAGUGUGGGCGACGCCAAAGGAAAAAGCACCACCGAGCAACGAG
rnacentral:rRNA from 1 species